GAAUAUUGGACAAUGGGCGAAAGCCUGAUCCAGCCAUGCCGCGUGUGUGAAGAAGGUCUUCGGAUUGUAAAGCACUUUAAGUUGGGAGGAAGGGUUGUAGAUUAAUACUCUGCAAUUUUGACGUUACCGACAGAAUAAGCACCGGCUAACUCUGUGCCAGCAGCCGCGGUAAUACAGAGGGUGCAAGCGUUAAUCGGAAUUACUGGGCGUAAAGCGCACGUAGGUGGUUUGGUAAGUCGGAUGUGAAAGCCCUGGGCUUAACCUGGGAAUUGCAUUCGAUACUGCUUGACUAGAGUAUGGUAGAGGGAAGUGGAAUUUCCGGUGUAGCGGUGAAAUGCGUAGAUAUCGGAAGGAACACCAGUGGCGAAGGCGACUUCCUGGGCCAAUACUGACACUGAGGUGCGAAAGCGUGGGUAGCAAACAGG
rnacentral:rRNA from 1 species